rnacentral:rRNA from 1 species
CCUACGGGAGGCAGCAGUAGGGAAUAUUGCUCAAUGGGGGAAACCCUGAAGCAGCAACGCCGCGUGGAGGAUGAAGGUUUUCGGAUUGUAAACUCCUUUUGUUAGAGAAGAUAAUGACGGUAUCUAACGAAUAAGCACCGGCUAACUCCGUGCCAGCAGCCGCGGUAAUACGGAGGGUGCAAGCGUUACUCGGAAUCACUGGGCGUAAAGAGCGCGUAGGUGGGAUAGCAAGUCAGAUGUGAAAUCCUAUGGCUUAACCAUAGAACUGCAUUUGAAACUGUUAUUCUAGAGUAUGGGAGAGGGAGGUGGAAUGCGUGGUGUAGGGGUGAAAUGCGUAGAGAUCAAGAGGAAUACUCAUUGCGAAGGCGACCUGCUAGAACAAAACUGACGCUGAUGCGCGAAAGCGUGGGGAGCAAACAGGAUUAGAUACCCGUGUAGUC